CUCAACUCGCGUGAAGAUGCCAUGGCAGCCAAACUGCCCUCUGCCCUGGCCCAGAGCUGCUCCCUGCCGCCCAUGGCUUGGGGCUGGGCUCCUUGGCCUGCAGCCUCCCGUGCCCAGCUGGGCUGCGGCAUCGCGGCGGGCCGAGGGGCAGAGCCUGGCCCUGCAGGAGCUGAGUUGGCAGCCGCCACAGAGCCUGUGUGGUCACAGCUGCGUGCAGAGCGGGCAGCAUGGCGGCUGCCAGGGCACAGGCACAGGGGCCCCCUGGGCACCAGGCAGCUGCAGCCCCGUGUGGGGCCUUCAGGAAGGCACCAGCCCUGAGUCAGGCAUUUCUGAGAGGGUCCCUGUGACACACCCCGGCCACUUCCCCAGCCCUCCCACGCAGGCCUUGCGCAGGCUGCUGCCUGUCCAGCCCUCCUGGCACCACCAGCCAAAGGGCCCGCUCCCGUCGCAGCCAUCAGGGAGCGUGCUGGGCGCUGGCACUGGCCUAAGCGUGCGGGCAGACGGCACUGCUGCGCUCGCCUGCGUGGCCAGGACACAGGAGUCUGGCACUGCCACGCAAAGGCCACCGCCUUCCUAGGGGCUUGCCAGGGACGGGGCUGCGGUUUUGGCGGGCUUUCUGCUGGCCGCAGCUGUCCUGGGCUUGCCCUUGCAGUGCUGACAGCGGUCAGUGCUUGGGUGACACAAGGGACAGCUCAGCCCGGCGGGGGGUCCUGAAGUGAUGUCGCCAUCGCAUCACAAGCCCUGCUCUUUGUGGAGGCGGGGCUGGGGCAGCCUCCGGUGUCACUUUGCCUGUGAGCCAGCGAGCGAGUGAGCAGGUGAAGAGUGUGGCAUUGAGCGGGGACGAAGCAGCAAGGCGGCCGGGUAAGAGCUGCCUCCUUUGGUCUCCCCCCAGGCUCUCCUCCUCUCGGGGCCAUCGGCCUGGCUCUGUCGGCCUCCUCCGCACCCCAAAACCCCUGCAGGCGCCAUCCUUGGGCAGCCAGCUGGGUUGCAGCCUGCCAUUGGACGCCCCCUCCCUCCACAUGUCCCCUUCCGAGUGCCACAAUCGUGGAAACAGCCCCUCAGCAAGGCCCAGCAAUGUCCGGCAACGAUUGUGCGCGCUUGGUGCUGAGGACAGGGUGUCCCAGGGGAACAGCGGUGAAAGCAGCCCCCGCAGCGGGCAACCAGGCAAGGCAGAGCGAGGGAGCCCACUGUGCCCUUCUUCUUCCAGAAGUGCUCUCUUGGCGGCCUUGGGCUCUUCUCCUGCGGGUGGAUUGACGCUGUCAAUCUAGCGGCGCGGAGCAGCGUGCAAAGGGACUGCACACGUGAGGCGCGCUCCCUUCGGCGGCAUGGAGCCUCAGAGCCUGAGGACCGCGUGCGGGCUCGUGGCACUGAGCUUUUUGCUCCUGUGCCUGCCCAGCUUCCCCUCGGCCUGCAACCUCCUCAUGGUGCUCCUGACGGUGGCCUCCACGGCUGUCCUGGAUAGCCUCGGGCCCCAGGUAGGAGUCGGCCUUACCAUUGCCCCAAGCACUGCCCGCACAGGGACAGGCCUGAGCCCGCGGCAGGGCCCAUCCCUGGCGCAGUGUGCACGGGCCCCGCUUUGGCGGGCAGCUCAGCGGCCUGGCCAGGGCCGGCCUGCCUGCGGGAGGCUUCCGCCCCGCUUCAGCCUCUGCUUGCCCUGCUGCCUGUGACGCUGGCAGAGACGAGCAGGCAGAGGCCCCCUGCUUUUACCCGCUCUGCCCUCCAGCAGCACCUGCAGCAAGGGCACCCUCCCUCUCCUGCCCCACAGCCUGCCUCCAGCCUCCGCUCUCCCUGCCCAGGGCAGGCCUGCCCACAGCUGGGGGCACCCGGGCGGAGGCUGCAGGCUCCCCACUAACCCCGCCUUUUCUGGGCCUCUGCAGGGGCCUCUGGGCGCUGCUGGCAGCCUGGGCAACGGCAGCGGGGAGUUGCCCGGAGCUCAGCAGCCGUCUCCCAGAGCCUGGCGGCCUCUUUCGCGCCCUGCGCAGCUCAGGCGCCAACGCGCAGGGGAGCCCUCCUCUGCCCCACCUCUGCAACGCUGGACCACCCUGCAGCUCUGGCCCCCACCACUGCAGACGGCCUCCCCUCCCGCUGCACGCGGUGCCCGCUGGAGAGCGGUGCUGGGCUCCCUGCUUUGCCCAGGCUGCACUUGUGGGGGCUUCAGACGACUGCGCAAGGGCAUCCGCAGAUGUGCUGCCCUCCUGCGAAGGAGACGACGAGCGCCCAGCAGCCGCCAGGCAAGGAGCAGCUGCUUCGGGCAAGCACAGAGCUCAGCGCCUGCGCAGAGGCACUGGUAACAAGCGCCCCGCUGAGCUACACGCCUUCGUCACCCCGGCGCCACUGGAAAUAAACCUCUGUGCACCAUU